GUGAGGAAUAUUGGACAAUGGGCGCAAGCCUGAUCCAGCCAUGCCGCGUGCAGGAAGACGCAUCUAUGGUGUGUAAACUGCUUUUGUACGGGAAGAAACACUCCCUCGUGAGGGAGCUUGACGGUACCGUAAGAAUAAGGAUCGGCUAACUCCGUGCCAGCAGCCGCGGUAAUACGGAGGAUCCAAGCGUUAUCCGGAAUCAUUGGGUUUAAAGGGGCCGUAGGCGGUUUAAUAAGUCAGUGGUGAAAGCCCAUCGCUCAACGAUGGAACGGCCAUUGAUACUGGUAGGCUUGAAGUACAAGGAAGUAACUAGAAUAUGUAGUGUAGCGGUGAAAUGCUUAGAUAUUACAUGGAAUACCAAUUGCGAAGGCAGGUUACUACUUGUGGAUUGACGCUGAUGGACGAAAGCGUGGGGAGCGAACAGGAUUAGAAACCCUGGUAGUCC
rnacentral:rRNA from 1 species